rnacentral:lncRNA from 1 species
GUUUUCAAGUACCAAAGUCACAGCCCAUGUCUUUCAAAAAAUAAAUUACUGCUUUGCAGAUUUAUUUGUUUGUGUGUCUUUUCGUAAGGCAGAGGGCAUUACUGCUAAUGGUAACUUCUCACUUUUAUUUCCUGACCAUUGAUUGCUUGGGUGGGGAAAGAGAGGAGUACACAGCAGUUAGUACUGCUGGGAAUUUCAUCUGCCUUGUCUCAUCCAUGCUGCAACCCGUGAUACCGUCACAUAGACCAAAAUCCAAAACUGGAGAAUGGAAUGGAGAGAAAAAUCCCCUCCCGUAUCGAUCCUUUCACCUCAGUUUCCUCUGGGCAGAAAAGCAAGAUCAAGUUCCUUCUGUGUCUUUCCCGAGAUAUUUUCUGCCUAUACAAAUAAACACUCACUCACACCCAGAUAUUCUUUUUCUCUUCUUUUACAUACGUGGAAGCACAUAAUUUGCACCUUAAUUUUUCUGCAUAUUAGUUAUUUUUC